rnacentral:rRNA from 1 species
CUUGCCAGGGAACUACGAGCCCCAGCUUAAAACCCAAAGGACUUGGCGGUGCUUUAGACCCCCCUAGAGGAGCCUGUUCUAGAACCGAUAACCCCCGUUUAACCUCACCCUCCCUUGUUUUCCCCGCCUAUAUACCGCCGUCGUCAGCUUACCCUAUGAAGGACUAACAGUGAGCUCAAUUGGCACAGCCUAAAACGUCAGGUCGAGGUGUAGCGUACGAGAGGGGAAGAAAUGGGCUACAUUCACUGAACCAGUGCACACGAACAGUGCCUUGAAAUCAGGCAUUUAAAGGAGGAUUUAGCAGUAAGAUGGAGAAUAGAGUGCUCCUCUGAAAACGGCCCUGAAGCGCGCACACACCGCCCGUCACUCUCCCCAAAGAUACCCCAACUAUAGUUAAAAAGAUUUUUCGACAAAGGGGAGGCAAGUCGUAACAUGGUAAGUGUACCGGAAGGUGCACUUGGAAAAAC